GACGAACGCUGGCGGCGUGCUUAACACAUGCAAGUCGAACGGAAAGGCCCUGCUUUUGUGGGGUGCUCGAGUGGCGAAAGGGUGAGUAACACGUGAGUAACCUGCCCUUGACUUUGGGAUAACUUCAGGAAACUGGGGCUAAUACCGGAUAGGAGCUCCUGCUGCAUGGUGGGGGUUGGAAAGUUUCGGCGGUUGGGGAUGGACUCGCGGCUUAUCAGCUUGUUGGUGGGGUAGUGGCUUACCAAGGCUUUGACGGGUAGCCGGCCUGAGAGGGUGACCGGCCACAUUGGGACUGAGAUACGGCCCAGACUCCUACGGGAGGCAGCAGUGGGGAAUAUUGCACAAUGGGCUGAAGCCUGAUGCAGCAACGCCGCGUGCGGUAUGACGGCCUUCGGGUUGUAAACCGCUUUCGCCUGUGACGAAGCGUGAGUGACGGUAAUGGGUAAAGAAGCACCGGCUAACUACGUG
rnacentral:rRNA from 1 species